rnacentral:lncRNA from 1 species
GGCAGUAUGCUUGGUAAAAGUCAUCGCCAUUCUCUAAUCUUGAGUACCCAGGGACACGAUACACUGCGGAAGGCUGCAGGGACCUCUGCCCAGGAAAGCCAGGCUUGCAUGAAGGAAAUGAUUUCCUAUGAUUCUGCUUACUGCUUAAAAAAAUUAAUCAAGUUUUCUGCCUGACAAGAUCCAGUAUCUGCCGGAGGAGCCCCACCUUCUGCUACUAUUAUGUUCUUCAGAUGAGUAGAAGAGAGUGGGGAGGGAGAGAGCAGGAAGAAGAAAGGAAGAAUAAUGUCUUGAAAUUGAACAUUCAGCAGGAACUGUGGAAAUCCAAGUCAAGUAAUAUUCUCAACAGUUUUCUAAGGAUAAUGGUCUCCAGCUUCGUCAAUGUUCCUGCAAAGGACAUGAUGCUGACUUUGAAGAUGCAAGCUUCCACAUCUACAGCCUCAAGGAAACAAAUUCAGCCAACCAACUGAGGGAGCUUUCCUUGUCCUGCCUCAAGAUGAGAUCACAGUCUGCCCAACACCAUGAUUUAGGCCUUGUGACACCUGGUAUGGAAGACCCAGUUAAGUUCUCUCCAAACUCUUGACCCACAGAACCUGUGAGAAAAUAUAUGGAUAUUAUUUUAAACUGCUAAAUUUGUAGUAAUUUGUUAUGCAGCAAUAAAAAAAACUAAUGCAAGGAGAUAUCAAUUAUUGUAAAAAGCUUAGCUUUUGUUUUAAAAUAUAGUUCACCAGUAGUAAGUUACUAAUAAGUAACUAAACAAAUAAAAGCAAGCCAUUUACAAAUCAAUAAUAAGAGUAAGUCAUGAACUAAAGAUUGUAAUUAAUCAAUUUCUGUACGCCUGUAAUGAAAAUAAAGGAGGAAAAGAAAAUGAAA